UAUCUUUCAACAUGGGAGUGGUGUUCCAGCAGCACCGGCUCGUCGUCACCGACGAUGUCUCCGGCUCAUCCUCAGUCGUGCCUCGGUGCAACUUCUACCGGUCUGCCCACCGUCAAGCGCACACAAAAUAUGGCCGCUAAAGCCGCCGCGCGCCUUGCUCGUGUCAUGGCGUCUCAGAACGCCAUCGUCGACGACGGUGAAGAUGACGACGAUCUUGAUUUUCGGUUCAGCGCUCCGCCUCCUGCAUCUCUUUCUUCUUUCUCCAACAACGCUAGCAGUAACAGGAGCACCAGCAAGAAUGCCUCCACUAUUCCUCCGAUUUUGGUCGCCAGGCCUAACAGUAGAAGAGGACACCAGAGGAGGCAACCUUAGUUCUGCGAGCCUUAGGUUUUGGUAGGGAGACUCAGAUCUAUAUUACAGCUGGUGAGAUUUAUGGUGGUGAACGCUUUCUUGCACAAUUGAGAUCUGUAUAUCCACGAAUUGUGAGUUUUUAUUGGAUUUAUGGUUGUGAACUCAGAUCUAUAUUUUUGUUUAUUUUUUGGAUAUUAAAAUGGUUCAGAAUAAUACUAAUGGGUUGUUGUGGAUUAUGAAAAAUUUUCCUUGCGCAUUCUGUUUGUGGUUGAAAAUUGGUCUAGCCCUCAGACCUGUUGGCCCUGAUCUAAAUGUGCAUUUUCUCUUUUUCAUCAUCUUUUCUUCCUUUUCAAAUUGUUCUACAUGGAAGCAUCUCAUGGAAGCAUCUGACUCUUCUUCUUCGCAAUUUAAGGUAAAAAAGGAAACAUUGCUAACCUGGGAUGAGUUUUGAAGGAAUGAUAUUCUAAAGCGACUUUGAAGGUUUGGUCUUUGGGUUGAAUUGAACCCUUAUUGGGAAAAGGCGAAGAGAGGGGCGGGUGGCUUUUGCAUUUCAUCCAUUCCUCAAAAAUCAGUUCAUUCGAAAAAGGGGAAAAGAAAAUGGAAUUCAAGAAAAUGAAAUUAAAGACGAACAAAACAUAAUAGAAUAGAAAGAAAGCCCUAAAAGACUUGUUCAUAGAAUCCAGAAUCCAUAGCAAAGAAUGUUCAUGAGAAUCCCCCAUUACAGCAUUUGGGCCUCUCCUGCAAAAAGAGAAGAUAGAAAGAGAUAAACAGUGUGCGUUGCUUUGCAGAGAAAGUGACUGAAAUACAAAGGAGAGACUACUGGACAGUAGAACAAAAGCAGAAAGCAGUGUCAGUGCGAGCAUGUGUUCACCGGUCGUUCACCGGAACCAAGCUCCCAUUUCAAUUAUAAAUUAAUCCUAAUUUUAAAAUCUUUCACAAAAACCCUAAUUUUUAAAUUUAUUGUUUAAAAUAUUGACACGUGCAAGGGUAUACAUAAUAAAACCCCGAGUCAAAGGUUUUUGUUCACGCCACGUAAAGACAUCUGUCCAACUCACUUGCACACAUAAGAUGAAAGUUAACCCGUUAACUUGAUUUAAC
rnacentral:lncRNA from 1 species